AGCCGUAGUUCAUUCAAAGUUUAUAAAGCAUCAAUAAGGCUUCUAUAGUGGCUGGCUGACAGGACACAAGCUCUUACGGUGGAGGACAGACCGCGACAUCCCGUGAUAAACUGGAGAAGAUGAUCUUCUACAUCCUGCUGCUCCUCCUCAUCCUGGCCUCCUGUGUCUCUG